rnacentral:rRNA from 1 species
AUGGAAGGCUCGCCGGCGACGCGUCUCCCCGAGGCCGACGCGCUCCCCGAUGGCUUCGUCGAGAGCUCCUCCGCCGACCAGGCCCAGCCAGUCUCCUCCGCCCCCGCCUCCGCCGCCGCCGGUCCCCUGCAUCCCGCCCUCGGCCCUGAUCACGAGGGCGCCGCCCGCGCCGACGGCGAGCAAACCCUAGGCGCUCCAUCCACCCCCGCCGACGCCGCCGAUGCCCUGCGGAGUCUCUCUAUGGCCGCCGCCGCUUCGGAGCCGGAGCGUGCCCCCGAGCAGCAGGGGCCCGCCGCAGACAUAGGAGGUGCCAAAGAUGCAAUGAAGGAGAGCUUUGUGGUAGAGCAAUCGGAACCGCUGGCCAAUCCAAAGGAUAGUGGCGAGCCAAAGCGUAAGGUCGUGAAGCGGAACAGUAAGCUAGAGAAGGACAAGGAGUUGUUGCAACUUGCCCAGAGGUACCAUGGAGUGGUAGCGGAGAGGGAUGCAGCCAUUGCAGUUAAAGAAAAAUUAGAAUCUCUUUGUAGAGAAUUUCAGCGUCAAAACAAAAUGUUAAAGGUCUGUGGUUUAGGAAGAGUGCCAAAGGGUGUCAACAGAGGGGCAGAACUUUCGGAUGGAGAUGUCCGACAAAUUCGAGAAUGCUAUGAAGUGUCAAGCUUGAGGAGCAGAAAAACGAAUGCAUUGCUCAGUUUGAAGAGAACAAUUCGUAAGACUACUAAGCUUAGGCUGAGAAAUAAACUCAAAGACCUUGCUGAUCAAUAUAAUAUCAUUCAGCAGAAAUAUGCUCAUCAGCUGAAAGAAAAGACGCUGGAACUUGAGCUUGCUGAUCUGAAAAUUCAACAGCAUCAAGCGAAAGCAGCUCAAGAACAUGCCCAAAUGGUAUUGUAUGCUGAGCAAGUUUCUCAACUUGUCACUACUGAGAAGAACCUGCGGGUGCAGCUAGCUGCUGAUGGUGAAAAAUUUCAGCAGUUUCAGGAUGCCCUGUCAAAAAGCAAUGAAGUGUUCGAAACUUACAAGGAGAUGGAACAGAUGGUGAAGGCGAUAAAAGACUUCAGGAAGCAAAAUGAAGCCCCGAAGAACAAGUGUGAGAAUUCAGAUAUUGCUCUUGUGAAGCUCAUUGAGGAGCGUGAGGUGAUGAAGAAGCAACUAGACAAAUAUAAGAAUCAAAAGGACAAACUCGAGUCCCUGUGCCGGUCGCUGCAGGCAGAAAGGAAACAAAGCCCAUCUGUCAGUAUUCCUAAUGAUGCCUCUAACCAAGAAGAUGUUACAAGUCAGAAACAAAGCCCAUCUUCCAGUAUUCCUGAUGACGCCUCUAACCAAGAAGAUGUUACAAGUCAGCAGCCAGAGGUAUAG